ACGAUUUUAGAAGCAAUGUAUUUCUAUUGGUAGUAUGUUUCGUGCCUGCACCAAAUAAUAACAAAUUAGAAGGAAAAAAAGAUGACAAAAAAUACAGAUUUCCACUGACUAUGGAGAAAUAUACCUCAAACAACCCCACUUCAAACAAUCCUGUCCCUUUUAAUUUGGCCAAAAAAGGUACAGUAACUAUAUACAAUAUAUUUUAUUUUUUAAAUUCAAUAAUUCAGAGAUAACUUGUGUUACUAACCAUAUUUGUCCUUACUUCACUCUUUUCUAACUCCACUAACUGAGCUGAUGUUGUUCAGAGGACAAAAAAGACAAGUAUGAGCUUCUGUCUGUAGAGAAAAUCCUGGAAUAGUCUAUAGUAUAAAAACACAGAAAGUAUUAUCAUGUAACCUACCUACAAACUGUAUGCAAUAUCUAAUUGUUUAUAUAAUAUAACUUGUUCAGUAAUUCACAGAUAAACGCUGCUGUUCGAUGUGGGCGAGAAGGUAGGAUCUUCCUUCUGACGCGUGUCAGGUUCAAGUCUACAAUGUCAAACUAGGAAACAAGUGUUAUUGCAUUGUUAAUCUGUUUAUUCAAUCAGUAUGCUCAUCCAUACUUUUUAAAUAAAUCAAAUAAAUGUUUUACUAACCUUACGUUUAUCAGACUCCAUCACCUGAGCCGCAGCUGUUCGCCACGGACAACAAACUUCAGAGAAUGCUGCCACUCGCUGUGGACACCAUGUAAGUAGUAGAAAAAUAAUGUUGUUGUGUGAACUGGUUCUCCAUGUGAUAUCAUUGAUUCAAAAUUGGAAUAUUAUUUGUCUUACUCGCCAUUUGAUAUCUUUCCUUCUCUUUUCUCCACCACCUGAGCUGCGAUUCACUGUGGAUAGAAACAGUAGAGUAGGAUAUAAAAUAAGCAAAUACAAUAUGUUUUAUGUAAACUAUCUGCAUCCUGUAAGCUACACUCAUCCAUACACACAUCGAUAUUCAGCCAUUUUAUUUUUACUAACCAUUAUGUAUAUUUCUCUCUGCUCUCCACCACCUGUUCCCUGCUGUUCACCGUGCACUUAAAGGUGAGCGUGAGCUUCAGACUGACAUAAAGCACAUGCAGGGUUACCUUGACGACUCAAGGGGAUAUGCUCCCAGCCGACCUUCAGGACAAGAUGGAGAUCAGACAGGGGUAUCAAUCAAUGACAUUUCCUGCAAGUCUUAAUUUAGCUUUUUUUAACAAUUCAAAUUGUUGCUCAUUGUAUUGUACUCUUAACACGUCUUGUUCAUUUCUCAUCCAGAGACACAGUGUUCUGUCCAGGCUGACCUCUGCAAGAGAGCUGGAGAGAUGAUCCUCUGUGUUUCAGUCUAUAUAAGUACCGUAAGAUUACAAAGAAAAGCAUUAGACACUUAAAAAGUUAACAUAACGCUGAAAAGGCAAACAAUGUUUCUGGAAGUCUGGGUCUCCUGAGGGGGGAUGCAGGCCAGAUCAGAGCGCUCCACUGAGCACGCUGUGUCAGCAUAAUCUCUCACUGUCCCUGUUUUGUUGUUGACUUCAAUAAAACACCCGGACCUGGUUUAAAGUCA